rnacentral:rRNA from 1 species
GAUGAACGCUGGCGGCGUGCCUAAUACAUGCAAGUCGAGCGAACAGACGAGGAGCUUGCUCCUCUGACGUUAGCGGCGGACGGGUGAGUAACACGUGGAUAACCUACCUAUAAGACUGGGAUAACUUCGGGAAACCGGAGCUAAUACCGGAUAAUAUAUUGAACCGCAUGGUUCAAUAGUGAAAGACGGUUUUGCUGUCACUUAUAGAUAGAUCCGCGCCGCAUUAGCUAGUUGGUAAGGUAACGGCUUACCAAGGCGACGAUGCGUAGCCGACCUGAGAGGGUGAUCGGCCACACUGGAACUGAGACACGGUCCAGACUCCUACGGGAGGCAGCAGUAGGGAAUCUUCCGCAAUGGGCGAAAGCUUGACGGAGCAACGCCGCGUGAGUGAUGAAGGUCUUCGGAUCGUAAAACUCUGUUAUUAGGGAAGAACAAAUGUGUAAGUAACUAUGCACGUCUUGACGGUACCUAAUCAGAAAGCCACGGCUAACUACGUG